rnacentral:rRNA from 1 species
AAAUUGAAGAGUUUGAUCAUGGCUCAGAUUGAACGCUGGCGGCAGGCCUAACACAUGCAAGUCGAACGGUAACAGGAAGMAGCUUGCUKCUUUGCUGACGAGUGGCGGACGGGUGAGUAAUGUCUGGGAAACUGCCUGAUGGAGGGGGAUAACUACUGGAAACGGUAGCUAAUACCGCAUAACGUCGCAAGACCAAAGAGGGGGACCUUCGGGCCUCUUGCCAUCGGAUGUGCCCAGAUGGGAUUAGCUUGUUGGUGGGGUAACGGCUCACCAAGGCGACGAUCCCUAGCUGGUCUGAGAGGAUGACCAGCCACACUGGAACUGAGACACGGUCCAGA